rnacentral:rRNA from 1 species
AUUGAACGCUGGCGGCAGGCCUAACACAUGCAAGUCGAACGGAGCAGCGGACGGGUGGGUGAUGCCAAGGAAUCUGACUCGAAGUGGGGGAUAACGUUCGGUAACGGGCGCUAAUACCACAACCUAUCACCUGAGGCUAUGUCGGAGUAGCUAGUUGGAGUGGUAAAGGCCUACCAAGGCGACGACCCGUAACUGGUCUGAGAGGAUGAACAGUCACACUGGGACUGAGACACGGGCCAGACUCCGACGGGAGGCAGAAGUGGGGAAUAUGGGGCAAUGGGCGAAAGCCUGAUCCAGCCAUGCCGCGGGUGUGAAGAAGGUCUGCGGGUUGUAAAGCACUUUAAGUUGGGAGGCGUUACCAACAGAAGAAGCACCGGCUAACUCCGUGCCAGCAGCCGCGGUAAUAC